AUUGAUGUAGCUUAAACCCAAAGCAAAGCACUGAAAAUGCUUAGAUGGACUUUUAUGAAGUCCCAUAAACA
rnacentral:tRNA from 1 species